rnacentral:rRNA from 1 species
UGUCUUUUUGAAAAUAAUAUAAAGUCUAAUCUGCCCACUGAUUUAAUAUUAAAGGGCUGCAGUAUAUUGACUGUACAAAGGUAGCAUAAUCAUUAGUCAUUUAAUUGAUGACUUGUAUGAAGGAUUGGAUGAAAUAUAAACUGUCUCUUAAUUAUAUUUAGAAUUUAAUUUUUUAAUUAAAAAGUUAAAAUGAAUUAAAAAGACGAGAAGACCCUAUAGAGUUUUAUAAUUAAAUUAAUUGAGAUUUUUUGUAAGAUUAAAAUUAAAAUUAAUUUAUUUAUUUUGUUGGGGUGACAGAAAAAUAUGGAGAACUUUUUUUAUAAUAUUACAUAAAUAAGUGGUUAAAUGAUCCAAUAUUAUUGAUUAUAAGAAAAAAUUACCUUAGGGAUAACAGCGUAAUUUUUUUUUUUAGUUCAUAUAAAAAAAAAAGUUUGCGACCUCGAUGUUGGAUUAAGAUAAAAUUUAAAUGCAGAAG